rnacentral:rRNA from 1 species
CCUACGGGAGGCAGCAGUAGGGAAUUUUCGGCAAUGGGGGGAACCCUGACCGAGCAACGCCGCGUGAACGAAGAAGUUAUUCGUAAUGUAAAGUUCUUUUAACAGGGAAGAAAGUGACAUUUGACGGUACCUGAAGAAUAAGCUCCGGCUAACUACGUGCCAGCAGCCGCGGUAAUACGUAGGGAGCGUGCGUUAUCCGGAAUUAUUGGGCGUAAGGGGUUCGUAGAUGGCAUAGUAAGUCUUUGGUAAAAAUGCUGGGCUCAACCCAAUAGGGCAAAAGAUACUGCAAGGCUAGAGUGUGACAGAGGCAAGUGGAACUACAUGUGUAGCGGUAAAAUGCGUAAAUAUAUGUAAGAACACCAGUGGCGAAGGCGGCUUGCUGGGUCGAUACUGACAUUGAGGCACGAAAGCGUGGGGAGCAAACAGGAUUAGAUACCCUUGUAGUC